rnacentral:rRNA from 1 species
UACGGAAGGCAGCAGUGGGGAAUAUUGCACAAUGGGCGAAAGCCUGAUGCAGCUAUGCCGCGUGUAUGAAGAAGGCCUUAGGGUUGUAAAGUACUUUCAUCGGGGAGGAAAAAACAAAACUAAUAAUUUUAUUUCUUGACGUUACCCGAAAAAGAAGCACCGGCUAACUCCGUGCCAGCAGCCGCGGUAAUACGGAGGGUGCGAGCGUUAAUCGGAAUUACUGGGCGUAAAGGGCACGCAGGCGGUUAAUUAAGUUGGAUGUGAAAUCCCCGGGCUUAACCUGGGAAUGGCAUUCAAGACUGGUUAGCUAGAGUCUUGUAGAGGGGGUAGAAUUCCAUGUGUAGCGGUGAAAUGCGUAGAGAUGUGGAGGAAUACCGGUGGCGAAGGCGGCCCCUGGACAAAGACUGACGCUCAUGUGCGAAAGCGUGGGGAGCAAACAGGGAUUAGAUACCCCGU